UGCUAAUGGACCUGGAACAGCCAUCUUCCCCUGUCCUCGGACACUGGCACUCCUGGUUCUCAGGCCUUCAGAUGUGGACUGGAGCUGUAUCACUGCUUUCCUGGGUCUCCAGCUUGCAGGCCGCGGGACUGCUCGGCCUCUGUAAUCACGAGAGAAAGAGAACUGAAACUCCAAUGGGCAAGCGGAAAUGCGCAACAGCGGAACAAGGGUAUGCCAUUUAACCGGUGCCGGGACAGGAGAUCCUUCUUUGGUACCAUCUGAAGACUUCCUGGUGAUCCAAUUCAUCAGAGAAUUAAAAUGCCAAGUCAAAGAAGGUUUUCUAAGCGUGUCAGAUAAGAAGAGUUUAUGCAAGGAUGUAAGCAACAAGAAUGCGGUGGCAGCAACAGCGUGCCAGUCUGAGGGGCGACUUCAAGAGGACAAGUCUUUUUCCGUUGGUUUUCUUGGACAUCUGCACAGCCUCCACGAUGAACAAGCCUGAGCUAGCCUGCUGGAGCUUGGGAGACCACGUGAAGCUGAGAUGAGCAGUCCCAAAGGAGGCCAUCUCAGAUCAGCCGGCCCUCCAAUCACCUGGCAGCUGAGCACACAGGCAUGAGUGAGUCCAGCUAAAACUAGAAGAACCACCCAGCAAA